GUGGGGAAUCUUAGACAAUGGGCGCAAGCCUGAUCUAGCCAUGCCGCGUGAGUGAUGAAGGCCCUAGGGUUGUAAAGCUCUUUCAGCUGGGAAGAUAAUGACGGUACCAGCAGAAGAAGCCCCGGCUAACUCCGUGCCAGCAGCCGCGGUAAUACGGAGGGGGCUAGCGUUGUUCGGAAUUACUGGGCGUAAAGCGCGCGUAGGCGGACUGAAAAGUUGGGGGUGAAAUCCCGGGGCUCAACCUCGGAACUGCCUUCAAAACUAUCAGUGUGGAGUUCGAGAGAGGUGAGUGGAAUUCCGAGUGUAGAGGUGAAAUUCGUAGAUAUUCGGAGGAACACCAGUGGCGAAGGCGGCUCACUGGCUCGAUACUGACGCUGAGGUGCGAAAGCGUGGGGAGCAAACAGGAUUAGAAACCCUUGUAGUCC
rnacentral:rRNA from 1 species